GCCUCCUUCUUCGUGAAACAUUGCUAAGCUUCAGAAAAGAAAAACCAACCACAAACCUCUCAUCUUUCUCGAUCUCUCAAUCGAUGUUCAUGGUACAUCACACAUAUAGAAAACAAGAUUCAAUCAGCAAGAACCCUAACCCCAACUGAAAUCCUAAAGCCCCAAUUCAAUGUGUUCUUCGGAUUACAUAUUAUAAAUUACAUGGAAAUCAAAGGAAUGAUUAAAGACAAAUAAGCAGGGAAAAGAGAGAUACAAAUGACGGCAAGAAUUACAUCUUUUCGGAAAAUUUGCUCAGGUAUUGUUUUGUUGAAUUAGUGCAAAUUGGGGACUGAUUAUAGCAACAGCUUGGUGGUGGAGCAGGGCAUUUGGAGUGUAGUGGCAGCACAAAGAUUGCAGAGGCGUGGGAGAAGAAAACUGCAGCAUUUUCGGUCUCUUUUUGUAUUUUUUGUUUGACUUUUUCUUUGUACUAAUUUUUUGUAAAAGUAAAUGGGCUUAAGACCAAAAAUGGACCUAAAUUUAAUAAAAAGGACUUUCAUUUUUUUUU